rnacentral:rRNA from 1 species
UGGGGGACAACCGUGGGAAACUACGGCUAAUACCGCAUGAUGCCUGAGGGCCAAAGACGAAAGUCGUUUGAGGAGGAGCCUGCGUCUGAUUUAGGUAGUUGGUGGGGUAAAGGCCUACCCAAGCCUACGAUCAGUAGCUGGUCUGAGAGGAUGAUCAGCCACAUUGGGACUGAGACACGGCCCAAACUCCUACGGGAGGCAGCAGUGGGGAAUCUUGGACAAUGGGCGCAAGCCUGAUCCAGCAAUGCCGCGUGGGUGAAGAAGGUCUUCGGAUUGUAAAGCCCUUUUGGCGGGGACGAUGAUGACGGUACCCGCAGAAUAAGCUCCGGCUAACUUCGUG